CAGGAUUUAAACCUCAGACACAGGGAGCUGACCUAUUCACCUUAGAAUCCUCUGGGGCACCCAUUACAGUGUCUGUACCAAGGAGGCAACAAAGAACGGCAGAACAGACUGGAGCAGAAGGACAACCCAGCAGAGCCAAGCCAAAUCACUGACCCUCAGAGGCCUGAUGUGAAUGCUUCUGGCUUCAGUCCAUUGGAUUCUGCAGUAAUCUGCCGAUCUACAGUAUUACCACAGUAAAUAACCGAUAGACCUGAAAACGAAUGCAUGCCUCGUGCCAAAAUUGCAGGAAACCUCACCAGCAGAAACAAUUUUAUAUGAGGGAAUGUACUCUCUCCUUUGCAUUUUUCCUCAAAUCUAUAUUUUUAGCCCCUCACUUGUCUCUACAGAGCCUCAGUUGCUUAAUCUAAUUGCUGACUGAACAUCUCCAGGAAACUGUGUGUACGUGUUUGUAUUCAUAGUAUAUUUAUUUAUUAUCUGUUUACUUCCAUGGGAUAUAGUCUCCGUAAGAGAGUAGUCAUCAUUGUAUUUGUUGAUGCUUAAUAAAUAAUCAUUGAA
rnacentral:lncRNA from 10 species